UUGUUCCAUUUCUUACCUGUCUUUACUGUUUGUGUGAUCCUUAGUUCUUGGCACAAGGUUGGCUGGCACAUCAUGACCAAUAAGUUACAGUUUCAUUCCCAUUUACUUUGUGAAUGGAGGCUAGUUUGUCUCACCCUUUUCUUUGUCCCUGAAUAGUCUGAAGAUGAUGAGAAACUGAAAAAGAGGAAGGAGCGAUUCGGGAUUGUCACAAGUUCAGCUGGUACUGGAACCACAGAGGAUACAGAGGCAAAGAAGAGGAAAAGAGCAGAGCGCUUUGGGAUUGCCUGAUGAAAAGUUCUUGAUGUUUUCUAUUCUCCAGUGUUUUCAAUUUCUCUGAUUCUUCUGAUCACACAUAUAUCUAAAUGCACAGUCAUGUGCUUACAUCUUGCCUCGCAGUGAGGGAGCAUGUACCCCAGGUACAUCUGUGAACUCCAGCAGCAAUUUGACUUAUUGCUGUUCAGACUCUAAGGUGGUUGUGUUUUUGUUUUUAAUUAGUUUGCUUGUUAAUAAAAAAAAUAGAAAAGAGAA